ACGGGAAAUCCCCAUAAUGGGGACACAAUCUAUGGGCACAAUCACUAUUUCAGAUUCCAACUAGACGCUCGGAUGCAGGCCAGUGCUCGGGUUCAUGCAGCCACUGAGUGGUUGCAUCGGGGGCUGCACGCAGGCUUUCUGCCCUGCUGCCCUCAGAGACUGCAGCCCUCUCCCUGCAUGUUUGCUGAAGCCACUGCCAGCUCAGAAUGUAGACAUGGCCACGUCCAAGAGUGAGAAGAGCAGUGUUUUCUUCCAGCUGUCUUAUUCAGAAGAAAACCUUUUCCAAAAGUCCCAUCUGACUUUCUUGCAGCAACCUUUGGCUCAGGAUGGGGCAUCCUCCCAUGACCUAGCCAGAAAAGCAGCUGAAAAAGUGAAGUCAGAUGUUUUCAGCACAUUGUGGGUGACGGAGAGACAACUUUAAGAAAGCAGUAUGACCUCCUGGAACUUGUGCCUGCUUGCUCUGAACCCACCGAUUAAAGCUCCCACAGGAAACCUGUUUGGAUAAUGCACUGUUUGGAUAACGCACUGUUUGGAUAACACACGGGG
rnacentral:lncRNA from 1 species